rnacentral:rRNA from 1 species
UACGUAGGGGGCAAGCGUUGUCCGGAUUUACUGGGCGUAAAGAGCGUGUAGGCGGCCAAGCAGGUCCGUUGUGAAAACUGGAGGCUUAACCUCCAGACGUCGACGGAAACCGCGUGGCUAGAGUCCGGAAGAGGAGAGUGGAAUUCCCGGUGUAGCGGUGAAAUGCGCAGAUAUCGGGAAGAACACCUAUGGCGAAGGCAGCUCUCUGGGACGGUACUGACGCUGAGACGCGAAAGCGUGGGGAGCGAACAGG